rnacentral:lncRNA from 1 species
AUGUGCUAUGCAACAACUGCCUGUGUGAUGAUGGUGUGUUCACCUAAGGGGUCUUUUUUUUAUUUGAGUGUCACUUUCUUCCUGUUCUAUUUGUACACGUGGCAACCUCCAUGUUGUAGUCACCAUUUUGGUACCAGCCAGGGCAUUGAGCCGACAUUGGUUGUUACAAUGGCGAGCAGAAGUGAGUUUUACAAGCAUGAACAUAAACGUCUUCUUAAAGAUGCUGCUGCAGUCUCAGCAGAAAAUAUGAGACCUGAUUUUCAAUGUUGGAACAGCUUUAGUAUAAAAGCUGGUGGUCGCUAUGGACAAUACCAGUUUAGAAACACAUGUGUUCUUGACUCACUCCUUGUUGGACUUCACAUUUGUCACAACAAACAUCCAAAAUGUCGAGAACUUAUUCAAAUGGAUGCUACACUUAAUGCAAUUAUGAUAUUUUUAGAUGCAAAAAAGUAUAAUGAGGCCAGAUAUCUUUGGUUGAUUUACUUAAAUCUAUUGAAUCCAAGUUGUAGAUUCAAAAUAUCUGAAAGAAUUGAUUUUAGGAGUGAGGUCAAGGACCAUUUACCAGUGUUUAGAGACCUGGUAUGUUCUAAAGUGCAUUUUAGUGGAGAUGAAACUCCACUUCAUGGAAUGGAUGAUAUUCUUCAUCAAAGCACCAAAAGAGCUUUUGAACCCUAUGGAAAUGUUAUGCUUUUGGGGAUAAAUUAUAAAGAGCCCAGUGUUAUACUGGUGUCCAAAGAUGAUGGUCUGGACACAGCUCCCCCAAUUUAUGUCACUGACACGUAUGGAAGGUAAGUAAUAAGAACAAUAUGUGUUAAGAAAAUGUUUAAUGUACAUGUUCACAUAAUUGUGCAGACGUGU